CGCUUAUUUAGCCCAGGCGAGGCUCGACCGCCCGUUCCGCAAAUGCCUGCCUCCUCUGACGAAGUCCGGGAGGUGGUCGGAGUUGAGCCGAUCUGCCGCGCGCUGCCGACGGCCCU
rfam:Leisingera methylohalidivorans DSM 14336 strain MB2, DSM 14336, complete genome.